rnacentral:lncRNA from 1 species
UCGUCUCCUUUCCGGUUAGUGGUGGAUAUUCCCCGUUCAAAUUUUCGUUUGACAACGUCUUCUGUUGCUCUAGCCCUCAGGGCUGAGCCAUUGAAGGUGCAUGAUGGGGUUCCUCCGAUGAUCACCAUUCCGGCCAAAUCUCCAGUGAUCAAGCAGGCGGAUAGUCUCAAAUUUCGUAAUGAGCGAGGGGCAUUCUUUGUCUGCCUGUGUUGGGCCUUUUCGGUGCCGCACCUGCAAAAAUACGGGUCAUGCGGCCCGUUUCUAUAG